rnacentral:lncRNA from 1 species
GGGUAACAACCGCACGCGACUCCCAAUCACAGGCAAGAUGUAAUCGGCGUUUGGGAAACGAAGCUCUAAUUGAAUGGAUUUUGGCUCUUGGUUAUCUUCUUAUUCAACAAUUGAUGUAACAGUUAAAAAAAAGUUGGUGGUGUUGGUGACUAAGAGGAUGAGAACUUGAAGGCUACAAUCUCACACCAUUUACUAGUUAGUUUUGCUCAGGGAAGUUCUCUGAUUUUCUAGUUUAUUGUUCUGUUCUAUUUCUAAUGUUGUUUUGGAAUAAUUCAAAACAAGUUUAAUAUAACUUUAAAACUCAUAUCUAAUGUGCUUUUGUUCAAGUAAUUGGGAAUUGUCAUCAAUUUGUUUUAAUAAUAUUAAUUGUUUUAGCUUUGAAAAAGAAGCAUAUGUGUAUUGGUCUAGACAUUGAUUUUUAAAUUAACUUAAACCUGGAAAUGGUGUUCGGUGUUAAUUUGAUGUGUGAUAACUGCUAGUAUUCUUUUCCCUGCAAUAUUGAUGCUAAUUUUAUGUGUUGUAGGCGAAAUGGUGGAUAUUGCUCUAUGAAAUGGUACAUAGGCUCGAGGAGCUAUCUCUAGCGGUGCUUCAACAAGUAAGAUCUGUUUUCCUAUGUAACAAAUUGUCAAAAUUUUCUUCUACAUUGAUGUCGCUGUAGCGUUUUCUAGCAUAGCCUUUUAAUAUUGUGUAUUUUGCUGUAGGCAUUUAUGCAUUUAGUUUUUAAUUUGUAUGCAAGUAUAUUAUUUAGCUAAGACUUUUGGGAACCAUAUAACACGUGCAUACGAUUAUCACGUGCAUAAGAUUUUUGGAAACUAUAAAUUAGAUGAUCCCAAGCCCGGGUA